rnacentral:rRNA from 1 species
UACAGAGGGUGCGAGCGUUAAUCGGAUUUACUGGGCGUAAAGGGCGCGUAGGCGGUGUGAUGAGUGUGAUGUGAAAGCCCCGGGCUUAACCUGGGAAGCGCAUCGCAAACGAUCAUACUAGAGUAGAUGAGAGGGUGAUGGAAUUUCCGGUGUAGCGGUGAAAUGCGUAGAGAUCGGAAGGAACGUCAAUGGCGAAGGCAGUCACCUGGCAUCAUACUGACGCUGAGGCGCGAGAGCGUGGGGAGCGAACAGG